rnacentral:rRNA from 1 species
GCAGGGAAUCUUGCACAAUGGGCGAAAGCCUGAUGCAGCAACGCCGCGUGUGGGAUGAAUGCCUUCGGGUUGUAAACCACUUUCAGGAGGGAAGAAAUUGACGGUACCUCCAAAAGAAGCCCCGGCCAACUACGUGCCAGCAGCCGCGGUAAUACGUAGGGGGCAAGCGUUAUCCGGAAUCAUUGGGCGUAAAGAGCUCGUAGGCGGUUCAGCAAGUCGGCUGUGAAAGUCCAAGGCUCAACCUUGGGACGCCAGUCGAUACUGCUGUGACUCGAGUCCGGUAGAGGAGUGUGGAAUUUCUGGUGUAGCGGUGAAAUGCAUAGAUAUCAGAAGGAACACCAACGGCGAAGGCAGCACUCUGGGCCGGUACUGACGCUGAGGAGCGAAAGCGUGGGGAGCAAACAGGAUUAGAAACCCUAGUAGUCCC